GCCAAAGUGAAAAAAUAAUUCAACUAGUAUUAAUAUUUACAUCUCAAAAAUGUAUUGUCUUAUACAAAUGGCCUUCCAACACUUUGUUCCUUUGUAUCUCUGUUUUGAAUGUAUAUAGUAUGUGCAAGGUUGAAAGUUUCCACUGUUGAAUCAAUCUGAGAUGAUAGAAAACAAACCCAAUGGAUUAGUUAAAACUAUGUUGCCUUUUAAGUGAGGAAGAGCC